UACGUAGGCAGCGAGCGUUGUUCGGAGUUACUGGGCGUAAAGGGUGUGUAGGCGGUUGCUUAAGUUUGGUGUGAAAUCUCCCGGCUCAACCGGGAGGGUGCGCCGAAUACUGAGUGACUAGAGUGCGGGAGAGGAAAGUGGAGUUCCUGGUGUAGCGGUGAAAUGCGUAGAUAUCAGGAGGAACACCGGUGAUGUAAACGGCUUUCUGGACCAUAACUGACGCUGAGGCACGAAAGCGUGGGUAGCAAGCAGG
rnacentral:rRNA from 1 species